rnacentral:lncRNA from 1 species
CGAGCAGCGUACUAAGAGCUUGGAAUGUACAAUUCGACAACAGAUAGAGGCCGUCCCUGCCCAAUAACGGUUUAAAAGGGGGAGACAGACAGCAAAACCAAACAAGUAGACAGGCAUCAAUUUAAAAGAGGGAUCGCAUUUCGGUCGUAAUGGCGUGUGUCUGAGGUACUGUGGGUUAAGCAUUUCGCGCCCGGGGCGCUCGAAUGGCUCCUUCUUUGGUGUCAUCCACUUACUUCUACUGAAGUUGGGCGGUUUAGGACAGGAGAGGGAGAGAAAGGUAGUGCGCGUGCGCCGUAGAGCCCCGAAGGCUCAGGUUGGGAAAAGCCCAAGGCCCCUGGUGGGUGACGUCACAACGAGGGUCCCGGGAGCGCUGUGCAUCCUGGGAAAUGGCCUGCCAAUCUUCUCCUUACUAGGAUUUUAGGGGCUCUGCUGAGGAGGGCGGCCGUUGCCCCUCAGGCUUGAUGUGACCCCCCGCCCCAUAGUCAAUGGCCUCUGAGUUUGGCCAUUUUGUGUCGUAGCAGGCCUAUGUGUACAGUGCCCGACUUGUCAUGGCGUCCUCCCCGAGGGGAGUAGGGUGUUCAUACUUAUCUGGCAGGGGAAAUUGUGCGGUCAUGCAGGUGCUUUUCCCAGGUUGAGGCUCAGUUACUGCGUUCUGGCUUUGCUGACCCCUGCGAUUUCCUCAAAUGCGAGGAACUCGACUGCAUAAUUUCUGGUGGGGGCGGACUGCGUUCGUGCUCUCCCUGGAAGUGCUGGCUCUAAAGAGAGAACAGUGUUGCAAGUAUGAAUUCCGUGCUUUUUUGGUUUUUUUUUUUCUUUUAACCAGAGGGGAGGUGAGUAGGGAGAGGUCUAAGCCGAAGCGUCAGACAGAGUCGCCCAGCGUGUGCCGGGCAGCAGCGGUAUGGGAAAGAGGCAAAGGUCAUGUGAUCAAACCAUCGAUCAAAGACACCAGCAGAGACUCGAGUUUUUACUGCGUAGAAGGCGGCAGUGGUAAAGAUAGGCACUUCCCUAUCUUUACCAAGAAAACUCGACGGAUACAGACAUUCCAGAAUGACCCCGGGACAGAAGAUGGGACGUUCUGAAGAGUGGAAUCGCCAUGGGUCAGAAGCAACGUCAUUUGAGGAAGAAGAAGAAGAUGAUGAGCCUCUUAUAAGGCUUUUCGUAUCUCUCCCCUGCCCUCUCGGCCCCCUCCCUUCCGCCCCGCCCCCCGGUCACAAUUGCCCUUGUUCUCGCUGUGUUACUUUUAACUACUACCUCCACUCGCAACUACUCACCCCGCCCAUGUUGCUUGGUUAUCUACUCCUCUCCCCAGGAGUUCCCUCUCCCCUGUCCCCCAUAGCUCCCACCCUUCCCCAAAUCGGCCAUCCACAGGGUCACGAGCCUCUGGACUCUCCUUGCCGCUAGCCUUUUGAUUUUGAUCUGAUCGACCCACGGACGAGUCAACAUUCGACCCUGGGCAUCACCCGCUUAUUAAUAAUAUUAUAUCAUAUUAUAUUAUUCCUACC